AGGUCUCAUACACUCCGUCUCAGAAAUCUACUGGAGGAGGCAUUCUACCAAAAUAAGAAAAAAUAGAAAAGAAGUCCUAGAUAUAUGAAAAAGGAAAGCAGUAAAAGGAACCUCUGAUGACCACUACGUAGCAGGAAUGAUGGAACAAAAAGCAUUCCUAAUCUCUUGGCGUUAAUGCCAUUACUCACUCCAACCUCACUGCUUGUAGAAAGUGGUGUAAUGGUAGAAAUGAGAGAAAAAACGUGGUGAAAUAAGAGAAGGAAGCUCUUCAAUGGCUGGAGUUAAAGGCUGAGAGAGAUAUGUUCCCUGAAAUCCUCUACUACAUAUCCAGAGAAAACAGAAGGAAGCGCCUCACCACACUACAGAUGAGUAACUAAUGAUUUCCUUUCCAUUGCUGACCUGGGAAAGGGUGAGUGGGAGAGAUGGCUUUCUAGUUUCCUGGCUUCUCAGCUAGACAGCCUAGACAUGGCUGUGUUAUAUAACACAGAUUAGAGUGCUAAAAGUUGGAAUCAUCUUCCAAUUAGGAGAUAGUAUAUGUCUUAUUAAAUAUCUGUUAUGUACUGCUGCUUCCAUUAUCUCAUUUAAACUUCAAAAUAGCCCUGCAAAGAAGGUAUUGUUAGUGGUCAAGACCUAUGUUCCUGGCUUUUCUUCUAUUUUAAUAGUUUCUCUUUCUCAAUCUUUUGCUGGCUGGGUCCUUAUUCUUCAUGAAACCUUAAUCAGGAAUGCCAAAGGAUUCAGCCCUAAGACCUCUUCUUUCUUCCUAUACUAUUCAAAGAUGUCCUUAAGAGAUCCACUGAAUCCUAGAUUCACAUAUACAUCUAUCUACUUGACAUUUCCAUUUGGAUAGACAGGCUGUUGCUACCUACUUAUAUCCCUUUGUUAUUCUCCUGCUUAAGUGGUUUCCAUCACAAUUAAAAUCCAAACUUUUUGCCUAUGUCCCUACGAAAUCUAGUUGUUGCCCCACUAGAUUUCCAAUCUCACUCCUAUCACUCAUCCCCUUUACUCAUUAAACUAGAACCACAGUAGACUUUCUGUUCCUCAAAUAUUUCAAACUUAUUUCUACCCUAGACUUUCACAUUUGUCUGUUCUAUUUCCUUUUGUCUCUAGUUCUUCAAGUGGAUGGUUCCUUUCUGUCAAUCAAGUCUCAGUUAAGACAGCACCCCAACUCCAUGGUGACAGAAGCUCCUGUGUUUAGGAUCCUUCUAGACCUCACCCCAUGUAUCUCUUCAUUUGGCUGUUGACUUGUAACCUUUAACAAAUUUUUUGUAAUAAACUG
rnacentral:lncRNA from 1 species